GAUGAACGCUGGCGGCGUGCCUAAUACAUGCAAGUCGAGCGAACAGACGAGGAGCUUGCUCCUCUGACGUUAGCGGCGGACGGGUGAGUAACACGUGGAUAACCUACCUAUAAGACUGGGAUAACUUCGGGAAACCGGAGCUAAUACCGGAUAAUAUAUUGAACCGCAUGGUUCAAUAGUGAAAGACGGUUUUGCUGUCACUUAUAGAUGGAUCCGAGCCGCAUUAGCUAGUUGGUAAGGUAACGGCUUACCAAGGCGACGAUGCGUAGCCGACCUGAGAGGGUGAUCGGCCACACUGGAACUGAGACACGGUCCAGACUCCUACGGGAGGCAGCAGUAGGGAAUCUUCGGCAAUGGGCGAAAGCCUGACGGAGCAACGCCGCGUGAGUGAUGAAGGCCUUCGGAUCGUAAAACUCUGUUAUUAGGGACGAAAAAAUGUGUGAGUAACUAUGCACGUCUUGACGGUACCUAAUCAGAAAGCCACGGCUAACUACGUG
rnacentral:rRNA from 1 species